rnacentral:rRNA from 1 species
GAUGAACGCUGGCGGCGUGCUUAACACAUGCAAGUCGAACGAAGCAUGGACCCCGGAAGUUUUCGGACGGAAAGGAACUAUGACUGAGUGGCGGACGGGUGAGUAACGCGUGGAUAACCUGCCUCAUACAGGGGGAUAACAGUCAGAAAUGACUGCUAAUACCGCAUAAGCGCACAGUACCGCAUGGUACGGUGUGAAAAACUCCGGUGGUAUGAGAUGGAUCCGCGUCUGAUUAGCUGGUUGGUGGGGUAAGGGCCCACCAAGGCAACGAUCAGUAGCCGGCCUGAGAGGGUGAACGGCCACAUUGGGACUGAGACACGGCCCAAACUCCUACGGGAGGCAGCAGUGGGGAAUAUUGCACAAUGGGGGAAACCCUGAUGCAGCGACGCCGCGUGAGUGAAGAAGUAUCUCGGUAUGUAAAGCUCUAUCAGCAGGGAAGAAAAUGACGGUACCUGACUAAGAAGCCCCGGCUAACUACGUGCCAGCCGCCGCCGUAACAC